GAGGAAUAUUGCACAAUGGGCGAAAGCCUGAUGCAGCGACGCCGCGUGGAGGAUGAAGGUUUUAGGAUUGUAAACUCCUGUUAAGUGGGAAAAAAGAACUAUCUUUAAUAGAGAUGGGUGAUGAUGGUACCACUAGAGAAAGCACCGGCUAACUUCGUGCCAGCAGCCGCGGUAAUACGAGGGGUGCAAACGUUAUUCGGAAUCAUUGGGCGUAAAGGGUACGUAGACGGCAAAAUAAGUCAGUCAUUAAAUCUUCCAGCUUAACUGGAAGUCUGUGGCUGAAACUGAUUUGCUUGAGGGUGGAAGAGAGAAGCGGAAUUCUCGGAGUAGCGGUAAAAUGCGUAGAUCUCGAGAGGAACACCGAUGGCGAAGGCAGCUUCUUGGUCCACUUCUGACGUUGAGGUACGAAAGCGUGGGGAGCAAAC
rnacentral:rRNA from 1 species